rnacentral:rRNA from 1 species
CCUACGGGUGGCUGCAGUGGGGAAUAUUGGACAAUGGGGGGAACCCUGAUCCAGCCCUGCCGCGUGUGUGAAGAAGGCCCUCGGGUUGUAAAGCACUUUCAGUGAGGAAGAACGCCUGGUGGUUAAUACCCAUCAGGAAAGACAUCACUCACAGAAGAAGCACCGGCUAACUCCGUGCCAGCAGCCGCGGUAAUACGGAGGGUGCGAGCGUUAAUCGGAAUUACUGGGCGUAAAGCGCGCGUAGGUGGCUUGAUAAGCCGGUUGUGAAAGCCCCGGGCUCAACCUGGGAACGGCAUCCGGAACUGUCAAGCUAGAGUGCAGGAGAGGAAGGUAGAAUUCCCGGUGUAGCGGUGAAAUGCGUAGAGAUCGGGAGGAAUACCAGUGGCGAAGUCGGCCUUCUGGACUGACACUGACACUGAGGUGCGAAAGCGUGGGUAGCAAACAGGAUUAGAUACCCGAGUAGUC